rnacentral:rRNA from 1 species
AGAAUAUUAGUCAAUGGCCUAACGGCUGAACCAGCAACUUGGAGGAAUGUAAGUAUCUGUAGGGUUAGCCUUACAGAUACGUUUCGACUACGUCGUAUAAAGUUCUAGAUAGAAGACUGAUAAUGACAAUUUUCUAUCUAUAUGUCUUGACCAAAUCUCGUGCCAGCAGUCGCGGCAAUACGAGGAAGACUAGUGUUAUUCAUCUUUAUUAGGUUUAAAGGGUACCUAGACGGCAUAUCAAGCCCCAAAAGGGAACAGAUAUACUAGAGUUUUAUGUGAGAGGUAUAUAUUAGUACUCUUGGUGUAGAGAUAAAAUUCUUUAAUACUAAUAGGACGGAUAAGAGCAAAAGCAAACCUUUAUGUAUAAACUGACGUUGAGGGACGAAGGCUUGGGUCGCGAAUAGGAUUAGAUACCCUAGUAGUCCAGGCAGAGAAUUAUGAAUGUUAUAGACUUACGAUUCUAAGUGUAUAAAUGAAAGUGUAAGCAUUCCACCUCAAGAGUAAUGUGGCAACGCAGGAACUGAAAUCAUUAGACCGUUUCUGAAACCAGUAGUGAAGUAUGUUAUUUAAUUCAAUAAAUCCGCA